AUGUGGAGACAAACUAGACAGAAGUGUGAGAGACGGUCGGAAUGCCGGGGGAGGGCUGGACACACGUCUUCCAGUGCAGGGAGGGCCGGGGACCCGGGGAGAGAGCCCGCCGACGAAAAGCAGCUCAGCCUUCUCCCAAAGGUGGCCGCGGGAUGGGAGUGUCAAUUGCGUGUUUAUUUUCCUCUGCUUACGAGUGUGAGCUUGGGCUCAUUGUCUCUGCAUAUAAUUAGGGAAACAGCUGUGCGCUGUGAGAUAAAAGUUGGGAGUCCAGAUGUGAGGGCAUCUGGCAUCCCUGGAGAGCUAGUGGCCCCGAGGCACCCCUGCUUCCAGGAGCACCCUGAGUUGAGCGAGAAAACCACGACCUGUAAGAGAGGGUGCCCAGGGUCGUGGGGGAGCAGGAUGGGCAGCAGGGGCGAGGACUCUACUUUCUCCUGGGACAUCGGACCAACAGACCUCCCAGCAGUCCCUCAGUCGGAGGCAGUUCCCGACGGAGGAAUCGUGAAAAGGCAUCGGAAGUUGAGUGAAUCCGGACAGGAGAGGGGCUCUGGUCCACCUCUUCUUCUUCCCGGAGACCCCCGCCGGCGCCCGAGGAACCGGCCCUGGGCGAUUCUGUCCCGGGGCCGUGGAUGGAAGGGAGUCGAUCCCCACCCCCGGAUCCUCCCUCGGGUUUCCUUCCCCUGUUUCUUGGCUAUUUUCUCCUUCCCUUCUUGCCUGCGUUCACUAGGACACUGGGGCAAUGGACAGGAGCUUAUGAACUUGAAAGUGGCAACUAAUAAAGUAGCAUUGGCAGCCCUCCACCCUUCGCGGUUGUGGCAGAAAAGGUGUGCGUGUUGGGGGGCGCGGGCAGGGGGAAGGGACGCUGGUGGUCCCCCCCACCCACUGCCUUCCGAGGCAAGGAGACCCGGUCAGGCCCCUCAAGGCAAUCCAGGUGCCUGGAUGCGAGAUGCUUGCAGGGCCCAGCGAGGAGGGAGCUUACCAUUAACCCUUUUAAACAUGUGUGUGAUUUGGGAGAAGAGAAUAGUUGGCUGCUCGUUUGGAUGGGGACGGGGUGUGGCGACCAGGUCAGCGGGACCAAGCCCCAGGUGGGUGUCAGCUCCCCUGGGCUCCCAUUACCGACUCCCUUGGGGGACCGAGGAGGAGGGCCAGCCUCCAGCUUCCAGCCGGCAGCCCUGGCAGGCCUAA
rnacentral:lncRNA from 12 species